AUACGGAGGAUCCGAACGUUAUCCGGAUUUAUUGGGUUUAAAGGGUGCGCAGGCGGGAUGUUAAGUCGGCGGUGAAAUUUUGCGGCUCAACCGUAAAAGUGCCUUCGAAACUGGCAUCCUUGAGUAUGGAUGAAGUAGGCGGAAUUCGUGGUGUAGCGGUGAAAUGCAUAGAUAUCACGAAGAACCCCGAUUGCGCAGGCAGCUUACUAAACCAUAACUGACGCUCAUGCACGAAGGCGUGGGGAUC
rnacentral:rRNA from 1 species